AUGAUACAAGUGAUGACCGCAUAGUUCAGCAGAAUCACCAUGUAGAACUAAGAGCAUGUCUUUCGCUCCUAGCUGAUGUAUCAC
ensembl:snoRNA